UCAUUAUUUUAAUUAGUUUGUGUUUUUUUAUAUAUCACAAUGAUUAAUUGGCUGUGAUUGAUUGAUUUUAAAAUGUAAGAGCCUUGGGGUGUUUAAGUCUAGUGUGCGCAAUAAAACGGCUCCUGAGGGCUGUAUUGAUGAAGGCUACAUAGCAACCAAGUUGGUGACAUUCUGCUCGGGGUAUCUGAAAAACGCACCAACCUUCCACAAUAGACCCCAAUGAAAUCCUGAUGGUCUAAAGGGGGUGGGAACACGAGUCAGCCUCAACCUUACUUAGUUGGGCCAGAUUCACCGAUAUAUUUUGUUCAACUCUGACGAGUUUAAUCAAUUGCGAACGAUGCACAUGGAUACGCUUAGGCGAUCAUGCGAUAGAUGACGAACUACAAACGAUCAGUUGGAAGCCCAACAUCAUCGGCAGUUAUUCAGUUGGUACCGUGAUUACGUCGAUAAAUUGGACGAUCAACGUAAAACGGAGAUGACUGAGAAGCCUGUCAUGCAUUGUAGGGGCCCAAAGGAGAUAGCAGUUAGGUAUAACAGGUACAUGAUUAACGUCAAACUAUUUCAGACUGUUGCACAUGAUGCGGGUAAGAGAACUCAGAACAAUGACGUGUGUGUGUCGACCGUUGAUUGCUUAAUGUACUACGGAAAGUUAACGGAUAUAAUUGAAGUCGAGUACUACUACCGGACUAAGUACGUCAUGUUCAAGUGUGAUUGGGCGGACAUCGCGAGGGACAGAGGGUACAAGGUGGACGAGUAUGACAUGGUACUUGUCAACUUCAAUCGCUUUGUCCACAGGGGAGAUCGGGAGAUUGAUGACCCGUACGUGCUAACUUCACAAGUUGACCAAGUAUUUUACAUUGAAGAUGAAAGGAACCCAAGUUGGGUUUGUGCCGUGCGGACUAAACCCAGGAACGUCUACGACGAUGGUUAGGGUGACGGGUCUCAUGAUACAUCUGACACCUACCACGAGUGUGAGCCGUUCUAUUAACCAGAAUUAACGAACAAUGACCCGACUGAUGAUUUUGACAAUGCCCAACCAACUCAGAUCCAAUCUUACAGUUGCCCUAACACUUGACAGAUAUUCCACACCUUGUUUGAAUGUUAGAUCGUCUACUUGCAGCGGUUCAGGUAAUAUGGAGCAUGUUGUUGGCAUUCGUUAGUAACUGUUCAUGUAUCGGCAGUGAGAAAUUCAACUCAUGUGCAUCCAUGAGUAGCUGUUUUAUCAUUGUGUUUUGCGUGUAUUCUUGUUUUGCGUGUAUUCUUUAUGUAUAAUUGUCCAUAUAUAUAUGAAAACA